AUAAUGUUGGAUAUUUUAGCGCUAAAAGUUUUUCAAAUGAACAAAAUGGAAUUUAAAAUUCAAACUGUUACAUAUACAGCACAGAAUACUAAUAUAUAUUUUGCAUGUGUGUAACGGUGUAACUUAUUGUAGUUAGUGUAGUCGCAUCGAACAUAGAGAUUCUUUGUAAAAGCAAAGGAUUGCAUCAUACAUUCAUAAAAUGCAUCAUCAUUAUCUUUUAUCAUUCUUUCCUUCGUUCAUCUUCCAGAAUGUUCUGGAAUGUUAAUCGUGAGUGUUGUGAUCGGAUGGAAAUAAAGAAAUGUUGGAAGUGAAAAUUUGGAAGUGGAGUGUGGUCAAGAUGGGAAAAUAUGUCUGCAAUAUCGUUCGACAAAAAUUUAAUAAAUGUGAGAAACGAAAUAAUCUACUUUCUAUGUUUUGAGAAAUGUUUGCCGGAUGUUCAAGACCUACGUUCGGAUUCAAUCAAAGAAUCCGACUAGAAGGACCAAGGAAUGUUAAGUUAUUUUGGCUAGUCUUGAAUGCUACCACAGUGACUGAUUUAAAAAUUAUGGAUAAAUGAAAUUAUUUUUGUUUCAAGAGAAGUGAAUCAAAGCAAUUAACUCCUGAUAGAAUGUCCUUUGAAUUCAAUAGAAUCGAAUCAAAAUGGCGACAAACUACAAAAAUUCUUCAAGGAUGAGACCUUAUAAUUUUUCAUGCCAUUUUUGGGGCUUUCAUCGUAUUUGCAUAAUCUAAUACAUAAUAGAUUAGUGGGUUCUGCAAGAACUAUUUGCUACUAAGGAAACAAAUUCAGAUACAGGGAGUUAAAUUCAUAAGCUUUCCAUGCAAAAUUAAUGAAAAAAAUCAUAGGUACGACAUGUAUGAUGAAACCGAAAGACAUGCUGGCAUUGUGUAAAAAUUAGUCAAAAAACAAAACUGUGACAAGAUUGGCCAUGUUGAAGGAAGCAAUUUAACGGUAAAGAAGACCACCAUUUCAAGGACAUCAACCAUUCUUACAGUUUUAUUAUGUUUCAAUGUCUAGUAUUUCGUCAAGUGUUUGUUCUGGACUUUGAUCUUCUGAUUCUAUGAGAAGACCUUCGGUAUUCAGGUAAGUAUUUAUUUAUAAUUUCUUUUCCAGGCGGUAUUUCCAUGGUGAUGGUGCCUUCUUAGAUCUUGCAUCUUGGAACUUCACUCCUAGCUCAGCGCAUACAGUUGGUGCUCCUGCGUAUAUUUAGUCUGUAAUGAUUCAUUUUAAUGUAAAUGUGGUAUUCACAUACGACACCUAAUUGAUUUUUUCACUUCUUAUACUCACCGUAGCACCAUUUUCUUCAUUUUUCGUUUUUUCGAUUAUGACUUAUUUUUGCGUAGAAGUAUAUUUUUUCUUCUCGAUUCUUAUAUGAGUGAAACUUUUCAUUCUUAGCUGAGCUAAAUUUCCUUAUGUUUUCUUCAUAGUGGGCUUCCGAAAUAAAAGUACAGGGUCUUUAUAUAAAUGACUGUAAAAUCGUGGUGACCUUUGUAAUAUUUUUAAUUUAAUCAUAGCGGGUUGGGAAACGGUGUUAACAAUAUUGGAAUAAGAAUCGAUUACGCACAAUUAAUUUUUUUUCAAAAAGAAUAGCUUUCAGUAAUUAUAUUAGAGAAAAACGGUAAAGAAUAUUUCAAAGGCCACUACGAUGUUACAAUCAUCAAUCUACAUCAUUAUAUCAUGAGGAGAAGUUAGAAUCGCUAUCAACAUUAGUUCUUUCUAGAGUUGAAAUAUUUUUUCUGGGACACAAGUAUUCGAAAUUUUUCCUAAUAGCUUGCCCCUCACAAUUUUCAUUAUUUUUUUCCUGUGUUCUCUUUUCAUUAACUAGUCGACAAAAGUGUUUUUUCUUUUGAUUGUCUUAUUUGUCGUCUAUACCUUUUUUUUUCGUUUAUCAUAUUUCUUGUGUCCCGAUUUCUUGUGGUAAUUUGUAGAUUCUGUAAUGGCAGAUGACUUCUUGUUCUUGUUUUCUAUUAAUAUUUUUGAUGAUGUUUAGUGAUUUAUAAAUCACCUACUUCUCAAUAACUAGAAUACUUUUUUCGUGAAGUAGAUAUGUCUUUUCAGUAUGUUUUCCGGCAUCUUAUAUUAGCUUUCUAUUGUUAUAAUAUGUUCAUUGAUUUGUCUGUUAGUUAAUUUAUGUUUUUUCAUAACUUUCUGGAGGUCUGGUCUCUCUGUAUCACUACUAUAAGAUUGUUAAUAUGUCAUAGGGUUAUUAAUAUUAUUCAAUACACUUUAUUACAUUAUGCAUUUUUCUUGCCUAUUCAUCGGCUUGACUGGAUAUGAUUAAAUUGAAAUGAAUAUAGAAAUCCGAAUAGGUUUAGAAAAAUCAUAGUGUACUAAAGUGUAUGACAGACAGUUCCAUAAUCCAUAAGAAAAGGCUCCUUUUGGUAUAAGUAGACCGCUUUAUAAGAAGGUCGCCUUUAAAGGGAGCUUAAAAGUGGAUGCGGUUCCAUAAACCGACCGUCUUUCAGAGAAAGCUCCAUUUUUUCAACUAUCAAAAUUUCUAGGGUUAGCUAUUUUGAGAACUAUAGUGAUUUAUUGCUUGCAUUUGGUAAUAUUUCAUUGAAAUUGAAAUUUUGCUGAUGAAAUAAAGAUAUCAUGAAAUGAGAGUAAACCAAUGAAAACCAAUAAUCUUAUAAUAUUUAGAUGCGCCCUUGAGCGGUGGUGCAGUGCAGAGCAUUGACUCCAACAUUAGAGAGAAAAAGAUCAAACUCUGGAUCACGUGACCACGGGGGAGAGGAUAACAAUGGUUGAAUUUCAACCAAUGAUGAGGGCAACCAAAUUACGUUAUCGCAAUGUAAAGUUUCGAUGGUUCAAUAUGUUCAAUAUCAAAACAUCAGUUAGUUGGGCACUGGGUCAUCAUGUGUUUCAUCUUUCUAAUAGAGUCGAAUCCUCUAUCUCUAUGCGCAAUCUAUUUAUUAUUAGAUUAUUGAAGUGAACGAAGGUAAUUGACGCAACAGACCGCAAUGUUACGUGAUGUAGUCAUAUAGCAUGCGUGAAUAAAAAGGAUCCUUUUUCUUGCCAUAGUGUCACUAUCCUGACUUUAUGGAAAAGGACACUUCGAAUUGGUUUAUGGAACACGUUCAAUUUGUAAAGCAGACUUUUCACGGAAAAGGUGAUUUUAUUCUCGAUUAUGGAACUAGUCCUGUUGUUUCUUUUUUUAUAUAUAACAGGAUGACGAUUUUAGAACGACAAGUAUAGAGGAACGGUGUUGGACAGCGGGAGAUGAGAGUAGAGUCAUUGCCUAAGGGUUGAAAUUUGGAAUGCCUUUUCAGUUUUCAGUAACAAUAAAACAGUGGACCGUGCAUUUUUAGAUAUGAUGCGUUCGUUGGACCUAAUGGAUCGAUGGUUUGAAAUCUGAGAGUUUGGCAAAGUACAUUGUUAGGACAGAAGCCUUGAUUAGGAAUCCUUGACGUUCAGCAUGAUGACAUACAGGAGAAUGGGGAAUUCUCUUCAUUUUGGGGUAUUACUGCAAAUUUGAACUGAAUCACUACGAUCAAGUUUUUAAAAAUGGUUAAAUCGCUUCGUUACGGCUGCACAAAGUGUCAACAACGCCUAGUAGGUUAGCUUAUACAACCAAUGCAAUGCAAAAUAUGAGAUGACAAAAAUGAAGUCUAUGCUCUUCUGUUUGCUUUCCUUGGUCGUUGGCUCCUACUGUAACGUUACAUUUGAUUCUUACGUUGAUUAGGUAGGCAUACCUCAUCAAGGUAACAGGAUGAUUGAUGUCCUUUUCUAUCCAUGUAAUCUGCAUCGUUGAUGCCAUAUUGUGCACUGGAAACGAGGUAGUAGAUAUUUCUUUUGGAAUAAAAGUUUGAGAUGGUAUGUUUGGAAUUUGACUUUUUAACGAUAUUCCAUAAGAAAUACUCAAAUUUCGUUUGAAGGAGAAUUCCCCAUUAGGAUUGAAGGUUCUUUUCUUACAGCUGUAAAAAACAAGUUUCGAUAAAAUCGCCAAACCGACCAAGUGACCUUGAACAUGACAUGUGAGGUUAAAGUGGGUUCUGUAGCCAGAUUGGGAAAUUGAUCAUCUAGUAAAGUAAUAACAAUAAUAUUUAGAAAUAACGUUAUUAACACAAAAUUAUUCCACUUCCCGACAUCGAACAUGUUCAAACUGUAUAACGAAGAUUCGUUCAUUUUGUAUUUAUGUUGAUGUUGACCCCUUUGAUAUCUAUGACUCUGGUGAUAACAACUUCUGUUCUCUCUCCAUGUUUAGUUUUCGAUUUAGUUGUAGUCUAAGCAUUAAGAUCAUUUGUUUUAAGUCAGUUGAGUUAAGAUACCAGUGUUAUCAAUCAGCGAAUUUUGAUCAGAAUUGCGUAUUUUCAACAAGGAUCUUCUUUUCAUUCAGUUACAAACUUAGGUACCUACUAGAUGCUAUGCUGAUUCGGUAGUUCUAUUUUUUGUAGAUUUUAGAAUUCUAUUAUCAGAGGCAUCAGGGGUUCAUUGAAAUAAUGUCUUGAAUUAUUGAUUAGCUGAUCAGUUCGUUAAUUAAAUAGGGUUUCUAUAAAUAGUAGUAAAAGAUAUCCAUUAUUUUUGCAUGAAAGAUAAGUCUUUAAUUACCAUAGUUAGAAUGAUCCGAUUUAGGUCGAAUAUAUGCCGUUUUGUUCGAUAACUUGUUUCCAUUUUGUGGGCGAUAUCAUUCUGCCGCCUUCAAAGAAGCCCACGUCCCUAUUGGCAAAAAACUGAAGCAGUCAAUUUUCACCAGCCUCUGUUGAAGCUAAUUUUUCACCAGCAAAAUUGUUCUCCAUGGAGAAGAAUAGAUGGUAUAAUCACUUGGUGACCGGUCCUGACUAUAAAUAAAUAAACUGAGUCAACUAAUCACAAAACUGUCAGAAAAGUUUUUGUAGUACGAAAUCUCAUCUUUCCAACGCCAUCUAGUGGGAACCCGAUCGGACUUAUACAAGGCAAGAUACAAAUAACUAAAUCCUUUUAUUGGAAAAAUAAUGGAUUUACAUAUAAAAUUAGGAAAUAAUACGUGAUAAUUAAUAAAUUUCGAUACUACUUGUUGGAAUACUUUCGCUUAACUAGUCUAGAUGUUAUUCAAUUCGUCCAUUCUCUAUUUUUCGAAAAUGAUUUGAUUGAAUCAAUUAAUAUUAUAAAACAAAAAAAAAAGAAAUUAGUGUAAUUCCCUUCAAGGUUACGUUACGUUGGAUUUGGCCAAGAAUUAAAACUGGUUUGGUAUAACUGUCACUAACAAUUAUUGGUGAUUUGCUGUAAAAAAGAACCUUAAAUCAGAAAUCAGUGCAUGGCAUCUUGCAGAAGUCUUGCCUUCACAAGAUAUGUAGGUAUCGUCCAACAAGCAUAACCAAGAGACUAUCAACAACGAGAAGAUUUUGUUGUCUUUACUAGUGAUGAAGUUCAUUUUUAGUCAAGCGAAGAAAUUAAUUGCAUAAAUUACGCUGUAAGCCUUCCGAAAACCCAUGUGUCUCGCGAUUUCAACAGAAUGACUGUCACCAACUUGUUAUUUUUCAUACUAAAAGAGAAUUAUCUGAAAUAUUAUAAAUCUAUCAAUAGUUCUGAGAAAGUUAAUUCACUUUUCGAGAAAUAAUAACUAAGUAACAAUUAUUCAAAAAACCUCAGGUUGCCGUGGGUCAUUCUGUAUGAUUCGUGGAUUCGUGACAUCCUGCUUAUUCUGUUUUUAUGUGCUCUAUUAAAUAUUUUUUAUAUUUCAAAUGUGGUUAGUUAUGUUUUAUUCUUCAAUAUGGUUCCUUAUGGAGGUUUCAUAGGUUUAUAGGUUAUUUAUGUUCCUCAAAUAUGUUAAAUGACAUGUAUCAAUGUUCAAUGUUUUCUUUCCCAACAUCUCCUGGGCCUCUCUGAGACCUCUCACCUCCUCUUGAAUGAUUGAAUGAAUAGGUAAUAGAUGAGAAAUAUUAGCAAAAAUGAAUAAUUUAAUAUAUUUCUUGAUGUUUAGGUAUAGUAUAUUCAAAGUCACUUGAACUUGUCAAUAAAAACGCUUGGCCAGUGUAUAUCGCGAUUCGCUAUUUAGCGGUAUUUACCUGGGUUUAUUUCAAAGUAUUAUUAGGAAAUGAUUCCCUGGUUCCAAAAGAGUUUCUGGAAACUUGGACAACCCUUGUAUAAUCUAAAUAUUCUGGCUUCCUCCAAGUGACUUUGGAUAUACUAUAACAUUGUGUGGAGAUUACAUAUUAGAACGAAUCAGCUCAUACAAAGCAAAGGUUUUAAGAACUACCUAAAAGUACUUAGAUGGAUUUGAACUUCAAACUCUUGAUUUGAAAUAGGUUUUAUUCGGUAUUGUUAUUACUAAUGAAUUCUAGGUAAUAACAACAUUGUAAAAAAAUAGUUUUUAUGCAUAAAAUGAUAAUUACUCAGAAUAAUUGCGAAACCAAAAAAAAUACAUCAAUUAUUUGAAAUGAAAAGUUCAAUUGGCGGAAUACUAUCAAUUGUUUUUCGAAAAUCUAAACGUUACGUUCAAGUUCACUAUCACGUCAUUGUUCACUCAAAAAAUUGAAUGAAUCCGACCUAUAUUUUGGAAGUUAUAAUGUUCUUGAUUAGCACUGGAAUAGCAUUAGCAUGAACAAGUAUCGAACACGCUUAACGAUCAUGAAAGUCAGUAAAGUGAAAGAUAUCUAAAUUUUUAUUUUGUCAUCUUGAUUUGUGAUCUGUUGAUAUAGUCAUUAAUCAAAUAAUUUAUUGGUAAAAGUAUAGAAUCGAUAAUAAAAGAAUAGACAGAGUUAGCAAUUUUUGCUGGGGCCAGUGAUGAGGAUAUCGAGGAAUUGAUUCUUUAUAAAACACUUUGUGUAAAAAAUAUAUCAAGACUAGUUGAAUCCAGUUUUGAUUUUGAUAGAGUAAUAGAUUUUCAAAUGAUCUGCAAGGAUUCGGACGUGUGCUCAGGGUUCCAGAAAAAAUAGUGACUGGAAAUAGAGUUUUGAUUUCAUCAGAUAUUCAUUUUCAAAAGUGGUAGGAUAAUCGAAUGAAAAAAAUCCGCCCGCCUUCCAUAGCUUUCCUCGGAUUCUGACAAAACUGGUCUUCAAGAAAUUUAGUGCAAAUUUGGUAGCACUACCGCAUUGAUCCUUCUAGAUCAAGAGUACACAAUUCUAAAUGUUGAAGGCUCAAAAUCAAAGAAUUAAAGUAAAUUUCUCAGAAACAAGACAUUAUUAUUUUGUUCACCAAUACGGAAACAAAUAUUUGUUGAUUAAUUCUUGUUGAAUAUUGGUGGCAAAUAUUUGACAUAAAAAAUCCUUCAAAAUAAAGGAUCUUCAAAUAUGCUGUUGUCCUACUAUGUAUUCUUCAAACAAUGGUAUGUAGUGUAGUUUUGGAUUUUGUAUAUCAAAUCAAAAUAUAUGAUACAGUUAAUGAAAUUAAUUUAUAUUGUUAAUUUCGAGGAAAAUUUGAACUUUUGUUUGAAUACUUCCGUAUAUGUAUUUUUUGGUAUGGUAUACAAAAUUUCAAAAGGAAGUUUCAGAUAAAUCGGUACUUCAGAUGAAAUUUCGCAGACAACGUUGGAAUCCAGUAAGCUUCAGAAUUUCCUAGCAGUAUAGCAUCCGCCAAAAAAGAUAGAAAAUAAAAAACUAUUAAUUAUUAUUUAUUAUUGAUAUUAUUAUUUUUUUAUUAUUAUUAUUGAUUUGAAAUCAUAGGGUUUUCCAAUGAGAGGUUUCAUUUCAAUCUAAAAGAAAGUUUUUUUAAGAGAUAUCAAUGUAUGUUUAAUUCAUCGUGAAGAGGAAGGUACGCUAUUAAUGAUGGAAAACAAUAUAUCAGCCAAAUGGCCGCCACUGCUACGGUUGAAGCACCAUAUUCUUUUCAUGAAAUUUUCCAUGACCAAUUCGUACAUUUGCAGAUGUAUCUCCUCGAUAACUUCGCGAAUUCCAUCUUUAAGGUCUUGAAACGAUUGUGGAGCAUUGGCAUAGACCUCAUAUUCCAUGAGCCCUAAAUAAAAAAAUCGAAAGGUGUAAAAUCACAAGAUGUUAGUGGCCAGUUAUUAUCACCUCUCCGAGAAAUAACAUGAACACUAUUCUUUUUUUGGAAAAUUGCUAUUGUUUUAUUGCUCGUGUGGCACGUAUAGCCGUCUUGCUGAAAAUAAACGUCCUCUAUAUUGAUAUAUUCCAAUUCCGGCCAUAAAAAUUUAUUAAUCAUAGGUCAGAAGCACAAUUCGUUCACCGUAACAGUUGCACCAUCCUCAUUUUCGAUCAAGUAAAAGAACCAAUUACACCAUCAGCCCAAAAGCCUCAAGACCUAAGUCUUUAAGCAAUAUACGAUGUAAUGUCUUUAGUGGAAUACCUAAUUCCCAAGAUCGACGAGGAAUCGACAAACACUACGGGCUAUAGGAGCAAUAUUCUCAGUUUUUCGACGCACCCGGUUUCGAUUUUUCACAUCACUUACUUGCUCCAAAAGCUCAAAUUUUUUAACCAGUUCCACUAUUGCCGGGCGAAAAGGUGUUUCAAGAUGAAUCAAAAGUGCUUUAGUUAUACGAACUGGAACUGCAAAAUUUCCAUCAAUUUUUUUCAGCUAGUUUCAACCAUUUCAAUACAUUUUUCAUACGUGUAUCCUUCAAUUUUUAGUAAUGGCGAAGUUUUAACUUGCCAAAUGUCAAAAAAUGACAGCUUCAAAAGUGAGAUCAGCCCAGAUAGCGGGCUAUUCAAAAUGAAACCUCUUAUUGGAAAACCCAUACACUUAUUAUUCCAUUAUUCGAUACGUCUAUGGGAAAACCCUUUAAUAGUUUGGUAGUUUGUUAGUUUGAUAUAAUGUUUUGUGCUCAGAUGUAAAUAUAGUAGGAUUUGAGAAAAAAUAAAUUGGAUUUUCUAGUA